UAUGCACGCUGGCGGCGUGCCUAAUACAUGCAAGUCGAGCGAACGGACGAGAAGCUUGCUUCUCUGAUGUUAGCGGCGGACGGGUGAGUAACACGUGGAUAACCUACCUAUAAGACUGGGAUAACUUCGGGAAACCGGGGCUAAUACCGGAUAAUAUUUUGAACCGCAUGGUUCAAAAGUGAAAGACGGUCUUGCUGUCACUUAUAGAUGGAUCCGCGCUGCAUUAGCUAGUUGGUAAGGUAACGGCUUACCAAGGCAACGAUGCAUAGCCGACCUGAGAGGGUGAUCGGCCACACUGGAACUGAGACACGGUCCAGACUCCUACGGGAGGCAGCAGUAGGGAAUCUUCCGCAAUGGGCGAAAGCCUGACGUAGCAACGCCGCGUGAGUGAUGAAGGUCUUCGGAUCGUAAAACUCUGUUAUUAUGGAAGAACAUAUGUGUAAGUAACUGUGCACAUCUUGACGGUACCUAAUCAGAAAGCCACGGCUAACUACGUG
rnacentral:rRNA from 1 species